ensembl:rRNA 5S_rRNA 5S ribosomal RNA
UUUAUAAGCCAUAUCACCCUGCAACCCAAUACUAAUUACUUACUAAAGCUUAUCAGGGCUGAGCCUGGUCAGUACCUGGAUGGGAGACCACAUGGGAAAACUAGGUUGUUGUUGGAA